GUGGGAUUCCAAAUACGUACAUGUGGUGGACGGUGGUGGCAUAAUGUGUAUCUGCUUUUAAUGUCGAUGCGAUUCACAUAGAUUGACAAAUUACCUGCAUCUAAAAGCUAAAUAACUAUGCAUCGAUAGUGAAAUAGCCGCACAGUGGUCCAAAAUGGAAGUUGGGCUUAAAAUUAAAAACAGAUUUGUUCACUCAUAAACGCUUACAUGUAGAUACACACACAUCCACAUCUACACAGAACACAUGUACACAAAUUUGAUUUUAUAAACAUUAAAAAAAAAAAUGAAUAACUAACAUUUUUGUAGAAAAGUACAUUUCUAUUUUCUAUGGCAAUAAUACGAGUAUCAUUGGAGUAUCCUUAGAGCCCAGUAGAGUAAUUCUCUUUAAAAAAAAAAAUCUGUUUCAUAGUUCCGUCUACGUAUUGCUAACGAAUAUAAAUAUUUAUGCUCUCUAAACUGUUCGGCAUUAAACUAUCAUGAAUUUUGUGCACAUUAAUAGAUCCAUAACUCACUGAAUUUUUCCAAGAACUUUUAUUUAAGAAGAAACCAGGACGGAAAACAUUCUUAGAGGAAGUAAUUUGUUGUAAAAAUACAAUUUCCUCUUUAAUAAAAAAAAAAAAAAACAAUAAGU